rnacentral:lncRNA from 1 species
AUUAGGAUUUGAUUAGGGUUUGAUUUUAGGUUUGGUUUAGGGUUUAGGAUUUGGAUUAGAGUUUAGGGUUGGAUUAGGGUUUGGAUUAGGAUUUGGAUUAGGGUUUAGGAUUUGGUUAGGGUUUGAUUUAGGAUAUGGAUUAGAGUUUGGACUAGAGUUUGGUUAGGGUUUGAUUUAAGGUUUGGUUUAGGAUUUAGGAUUUGGAUUAGAGUUUAGGAUAGGAUUUAGGGUUGGAUUAGGGUUUGGUUUAGGGUUUGAAAUAGGAUUUAAUUUAAGAUUUGUUUAGGAUUUGACUUAGGGUUUAGGAAUUAUUAGGGUUUAAGAUUUAAUUAGGUUUGGUCUAAAGUUGAGUGAAAUUCAAUAGGGUUUUAACUAGAAUUAAAUUAAGGUUGAAUUGACAUAUAUUUGAGUAAAAUUUGUGAUCAUUAUAAUAUUUCUUUAAGAAUUUUAUUGUUUUUUUGAAAUUUCUUUGAGUUUUUUUGAAUUUGAUUACGUUUGUUUACCAUUAUUAUAAUCUAAUUAGAGGAUUGUUAGUAUUCUAUUUAGGAUUUUGUUAUCGCAAUUUCUAUUCUUU